ACUCCUACGGGAGGCAGCAGUGGGGAAUAUUGCACAAUGGGCGCAAGCCUGAUGCAGCCAUGCCGCGUGUAUGAAGAAGGCCUUCGGGUUGUAAAGUACUUUCAGCAGUGAGGAAGGUGGGUAUGUUAAUAGCAUACUCAUUUGACGUUAGCUGCAGAAGAAGCACCGGCUAACUCCGUGCCAGCAGCCGCGGUAAUACGGAGGGUGCGAGCGUUAAUCGGAAUUACUGGGCGUAAAGCGCAUGCAGGUGGUUUGUUAAGUCAGAUGUGAAAGCCCGGGGGCUCAACCUCGGAAUUGCAUUUGAAACUGGCAAACUAGAGUACUGUAGAGGGGGGUAGAAUUUCAGGUGUAGCGGUGAAAUGCGUAGAGAUCUGAAGGAAUACCGGUGGCGAAGGCGGCCCCCUGGACAGAUACUGACACUCAGAUGCGAAAGCGUGGGGAGCAAACAGGAUUAGAUACCCUGGUAGGCUCU
rnacentral:rRNA from 1 species